AUCCUAGAGACACUCUUGAACCUUAAAAAUUUAACAAAAAUCUAACAAUGGAUACUUAAAAACAUUUUAUCCUAUUCCCACAGGUUAACAUCAGCCAUGCAUUUCUGUGAUGGCGACCGGAAGGUUUUGCCACACCAAAAAUGUCUCAGUUAGUCCACCAUCCAGUUGGGAUGUUCCUAAUCCGUCCGUUUCUUGUUUCCAGACAGUAAUGUGAGCGGACAAUAGAAAAUUGUUGACCUCUUUUGAAAACAACAUAUACAUAAAUUAUUUCGAUGCUCAACAUUAGGAUAGACAUAAUAAUUCCACCUACAAGAAAGAAGUCUAAGAAAAGCUCACUUACAGCUUUAUUUAAAUGUGACUUACAAAUCAGCACAAAGAAAGCCGCUAAAGCUCCUGAUAAGGUGACUGGAUAUACGGUGUAUAAUGAUUGACAGGUAGGCUUUCUAAUUUGACGUUGCCGAAGGAGUCGUUCCACGAAACCUCUUUCCCUUGCCGAACACAUGCUAAAAUAAUGACUGCGUAAAAAAAAUGUAAAUAUCGGGAAUGAAAGGCCGGAUACCUCGCGCAGAUCACAAAUUUCACUGGCAUCAAAUAAUUCGGCAAUCAAAGGAUAGGCGGCAACUACUUCACAGUGAAAUGC